GCGGGCGCGCGGGGGCUGCCGGCUGGAGGGCCCCGGGAGACGCCGGUUUACACGUGCGGUUUUGAUCCUGUUCACUGCCCGUGUUUUCAACGCCAGCCGUCUGCGAGGAGCCGCUGGGACGUGCCCAUCAGCCCGAGACUUCAGUAAGCCGGGAGCUUCCCGAACAGAGCCUCACAAUGACACCGAGAGAGCCCCCGGAAGUAAUUUCUCCAGUGAAAAAUAUAGAGAAUCAAAGAAUCAAAG